AGAGUUUGAUCAUGGCUCAGGAUAAACGCUGGCGGUGUGCUUUAUGCAUGCAAGUCGAACGAGUCAUUUCGGUGAUUAGUGGCAAACGGGUGAGUAACACGUAAGUGACCUGCCCUUAAGUGGGGGACAACUCUGAGAAAUCGGAGCUAAUACCGCAUGUGGUGAUGGUGGUAAAGCACCAUCACUAAAGCCUUCGGGUGCUUGAGGAGGGGCUUGCGUCCGAUUAGCUAGUUGGUGAGGUAAAGGCCUACCAAGGCGACGAUCGGUAGCUGGUUUGAGAGGACGACCAGCCACACUGGGACUGAGACACGGCCCAGACUCCUGCGGGAGGCAGCAGCAAGGAAUAUUGGGCAAUGGGCGAAAGCCUGACCCAGCGACACCGCGUGGGGGAAGAAGGCCUUCGGGUUGUAAACCCCUUUUCCCGGGGAAGAAUAAUGACGGUACCCGGGGAAUAAGUCUCGGCUAACUACGUGCCAGCAGCCGCGGUAAUACGUAGGAGGCAAGCGUUAUCCGGAUUUACUGGGCGUAAAGCGGGCGUAGGCGGCUUUUCAAGUCGGAUGUGAAAUCUCCUGGCUAAACUGGGAGGGUGCGUUCGAUACUGAUGGGCUAGAGUGCAGCAGAGGGAAGCGGAAUUCCCGGUGUAGUGGUGAAAUGCGUAGAUAUCGGGAAGAACACUAGUGGCGAAGGCGGCUUCCUGGGCUGUAACUGACGCUGAGGUCCGAAGGCGUGGGGAGCAAACAGGAUUAGAUACCCUAGUAGUCC
rnacentral:rRNA from 1 species